AUUCCACAUCAGACAGUCCUGAAACGACGCAGCUGACACUGUGGGAAGGUGUACUCUCAAUCUGAGGUGGAACUGGUCUGUGCAAUCCAGAACUUUUAUUUUUAUAGCUUUUUGAAUGUAAACAAAACAGCAUAUA